CCUCUAUAGAUACACUGCGGGCGACUGUCCUCCAGGGACCGGAAGUGGGCGUCUGUGACCCACCGGAAGUGGUCUGGUACUGUGGGAGCCGUUGUCCCGGUUGGAGCCGUGAGUUUUUUUGCGGAGUGACUGAGUCUGUCCGUCUGUCUGAUCCUACUGGUAACUACAAAGGCCGAGAACCAACCAUUUGAUAAGAAGAGAUGGAUGGAGAAGAGAAAACAUAUGGUGGGUGUGAAGGCCCUGAUGCUAUGUAUGUGAAACUGAUAUCCUCUGAUGGCCAUGAAUUCAUUGUUAAGCGAGAACAUGCACUCACGUCAGGAACAAUAAAAGCUAUGUUGAGUGGUCCA